rnacentral:rRNA from 1 species
AGCAGCCGCGGUAAUUCCAGCUCCAAUAGCGUAUAUUAAAGUUGUUGCAGUUAAAAAGCUCGUAGUUGAAUUUCGGGGUCAGUAGGUUGGUCAUGCCUUCGGUAUGUACUGGUCUCACUGAUUCCUCCUUCUUGAAGAUCCGUAAUGUCAUUAAUUUGGUGUUGCGGGGAAUCAGGACUGUUACUUUGAAAAAAUUAGAGUGUUUAAAGCAGGCUAACGCUUGAAUACAUUAGCAUGGAAUAAUGAAAUAGGACGUUUGAUCCUAUUUUGUUGGUUUCUAGGAUUGACGUAAUGAUUAAUAGGGAUAGUUGGGGGCAUUAGUAUUCAAUUGUCAGAGGUGAAAUUCUUGGAUUUAUUGAAGACUAACUACUGCGAAAGCAUUUGCCAAGGAUGUUUUCAUUAAUCAAGAACGAAAGUUAGGGGAUCGAAGACGAUCAGAUACCGUCGUAGUCUUAACCAUAAACUAUGCCGACUAGGGAUCGGAUGAUGUUAAUUUUUUAAUGUACUCAUUCGGCGCCUU